ensembl:lncRNA
CUGCACCUCAUCUGAGAGACUGGGUGCGGUCAGUGAGAAAUCAAAUAUUUAUAUACUAAUACUGCAGCCUGGCAACACAACGGAGGAACUUGUGAUGGUAGAGGAAAUGAAACUAGACGGCAUGGGAACAACAGAAACAUGAUGAAUUAACACUCAGGACUGGAUUGGAAGGACUGAGAGGCCCAUCUGGAAGGCUGUAAUGCCUCGUGUUUUCCAUCCUGGCUGCUGGUGCUGGUGAUACCAUCAGUGUGAAUUUCAGAUCAGCAGAUAUAAUUGAUGAUGGACUGAAAAUCAGCAUCUACAUAUCAAGACCCAGGAGCGAUACAUUAUGCAUCAAGUUCGCACCAAGGGAUGUUGAAAUAAUGCCUGAGACUGUUGGAGAGAAUGGGUGCAGUAUUACGUGACUGUCUCAAGUCUGUAGUAUUAGCCACUACUCAGACUGGGAACAGGAAUACAUCUCCUGGAUUCCUGAUCUCUGUUUAAGUCUCUGUGCCAGGAUGCCUUGCUACUAUGCUUUUAAAAGACAGAGAUAUUGAGGUCCAAAACAAAGACAAACUAUUGUUGCUCAAUAUCCUUAAAGAAAAGACAAACUAAAUAGAGCACUUCAGUCAUACCAGCUUUUGGUCAACAGGAAACAUACACCCAGAUGAAGCUGUAUUAUGCCAGAUAUCCCAGACCUGCAGGAAAGCCUGUUGGAACCUGUUGCUCAGGAGCUGGCUGACGGAGGAAGGGAUGCCAGCCAUCUUGAAGUCAAAAGUCAAAGGAAAGGCAAAGUAUAACGUUCUGGUGCCCGUGGUCGGAAAGACCUGUCUGUACUUUUCCACUGUUCGUGUUAGCUGAGAUUAAAAACUAAUGAAAAAUUCUUUACAGCGGGAGUAUCAACACCAUGGUAAUCUGAUACUGAACUUUUCAGUUUGAAUUUGGUGAGUAAAACUGAAACUGGGGGAGUACCAUCUGCCCGCCGUGUCGCCUCCUAUAGGUGGGACGUGCUGGGCUGGGUGAGCCCUCACAGCCCUUUGUGCCACCACACAAAGCACCUCAUGACUGCCAAGGAGAGACACUGUGCGAGAUCACCAGGGCGUGCAGUAGACAUGCCUCUCUCUUAUCUGCAGGAGCUUUGAGGUUUUCGCCAAGGAUUUCAUGUGGUGUCUUUUGCUACCUGUGGAGUCCCAAAGAGCCCCACAUGCUCUGUGUGUCCCUUGGGAAGCCAGACUUCCACUGCGUCUCAAAGACUGCCACGUGCUCUUGUCCCGUUCCUCUGCUUUGUGAAUUGGAAACAGGAGGAACAACUCCUCGCCUAUGUUGUACCAUCAGUACAAUAAAGCAUUGACCUUGGUCCUCAGUCCUGGCACUGGGUA